UUGUCCAAUACGCAAUGAGCGAUAUCGUUAAGCGUAACAACAAGCGCUGCUGUAGCGGGGAGGCAACGUCCCUUAUUUGUUCUCUGUACUUCAGGUUUCAGGGGUGAGUUUGCUUUCUUUCUUGUCCUCUGCUUUCAGAUUUGUGCCUGCUUGUGUUCACAAUCGCAUGCAUGCGAUAGAGCUCUGGAGCACAGCAGCUGAAUAUGGUUUUCUUUCUCUGCAGAAUGAUGUUGCGAAUGAGUGACGAGCACAAUGGAGAUGUGGGACUGACCUAAAUGUAUUAACAAGAUUGUCGUUUGGUUACGUUCGAUGCUGUCUGUUCAGUGUACUGGCGACGAACAAUAUGGAGAUAUGGGACUGACGUGCUGGCAGAGUCAUGGAAUGAAGGUCACGAUUACUACGCCUGGCCUGUAAGCCAUUUGUUGGCACUUCAGCUGGGCUGGAGCUACGAUCACAUUUUAGGUGCUUCCAGGCUCAUGGAAUGGAGGUGACGAAUACAACG